GCUUGGCAGAAAAGAUUGCAAAUCUAACUUUAGAAAGAGAUAACGGUUUUGUAGAGCGGCGUCUUAUAGCUGAGAAUG